rnacentral:rRNA from 1 species
UAGGGAAUCUUCCGCAAUGGGCGAAAGCCUGACGGAGCAACGCCGCGUGAGUGAUGAAGGUCUUCGGAUCGUAAAACUCUGUUAUUAGGGAAGAACAAAUGUGGAAGUAACUAUGCACGUCUUGACGGUACCUAAUCAGAAAGCCACGGCUAACUACGUGCCAGCAGCCGCGGUAAUACGUAGGUGGCAAGCGUUAUCCGGAAUUAUUGGGCGUAAAGCGCGCGUAGGCGGUUUUUUAAGUCUGAUGUGAAAGCCCACGGCUCAACCGUGGAGGGUCAUUGGAAACUGGAAAACUUGAGUGCAGAAGAGGAAAGUGGAAUUCCAUGUGUAGCGGUGAAAUGCGCAGAGAUAUGGAGGAACACCAGUGGCGAAGGCGACUUUCUGGUCUGUAACUGACGCUGAUGUGCGAAAGCGUGGGGAUCAAACAGG